GAUCAGAGUAAUUUGAUCUUUACCAAAUACUUUGUUAGUCUUAUUGAAUAAUUUCUUGGAUGACUACUUUUUCCUUUUACUUGAGUAAAAAUAUGUUGAAGUAUUUUUAGUCUUACUUUAGUACGUUUGUACUAAAUCUUUGGGGAAUAAAUUCUUUGAUAACUUUCAGAACAGUUCUGUUGUCUAUCCUCUGCUGCAGGGAUAAACUUUCUAACAGCUACAACAUUAACCAAACAAACUCGUUACAACUUGAGGUUUUCUGUGCUUUAGUUUAUUGAAAUGUUAUAUUUAUAUGGGUUCUGUUUAUUUGUUUCUGUUCAGACCCAAACCUCCUGCACUAUGGGAUUCCCCUCCAUCUUGGUCCCACUGUGGGUUACUUUGAACUGGACCUGAUCCGUGUACCUGGUCGUUACAUGAUCCGUGGAGAUGAGCUGGGCAUCAACCUUCAGGAACUUGGGGUUGUUCUCCGUUUCUGUUCCGCUGCUGGAAACAUCGGAUUGGAUCUGAUCCAUGGAUCUGUUCGGAUCUGGGUCCAAGGUUUCCUGUCAGUUCUCCCAUGGCUGGAUGGAAACAACACUGGGCCUCAUUGGACCUUCUGUCUUCAGAAUAAUUAGAAAACUGGACAACCUGUUGCAAGAGGU